rnacentral:rRNA from 1 species
CCGUCGGAAACGGUGGCUAAUACCCCAUGGUCCUGGUGUAGUUGGAGUACACUGGGUAAAGUUCCGGCGCUCUGGGAGGGGCCUGCGGUCGAUUAGCUAGUUGGUGGGGUAAAGGCCUACCAAGGCGAUGAUCGAUAGCUGUUCUGAGAGGAAGACCAGCCACACGGGAACUGAGACACGGUCCCGACUCCUACGGGGGGCAGCAGUGAGGAAUAUUGCGCAAUGGGGGAAACCCUGACGCAGCAACGCCGCGUGAAGGAUGAAGGCCUUCGGGUCGUAAACUUCUUUUCUGGGGGAAGAGGAAGGACGGUACCCCAGGAAUAAGACACGGCUAACUACGUGCCAGCAGCCGCGGUAAUACGUAGGUGUCGAGCGUUAUCCGGUAUUACUGGGCGUAAAGGGCACGCAGGUGGCGAGGCAAGUCUAGUGUGAAAGCUCUCGGCUUAACUGGGAGAGGACGCUGGAAACUGUCUGGCUUGAGGCAAUGAGAGGGGUGCGGAAUUCCCGGAGUAGUGGUGGAAUGCGUAGAUAUCGGGAAGAACACCAGUGGCGAAGGCGGCACCCUGGCAUUGACCUGACACUGAGGUGCGAAAGCGUGGGUAGCGAACGGGAUUAGAUACCCCGGUAGUCCACGCUGUAAACGAUGUGAACUAGGUGUAGGCAGUAUUGACCCUGUCUGUGCCGAAGCCAACGCGAUAAGUUCACCGCCUGGGGACUACGGCGCAAGGCU